rnacentral:rRNA from 1 species
GUGGGGAAUAUUGCACAAUGGGCGAAAGCCUGAUGCAGCAACGCCGCGUGAGUGAUGAAGGUCUUCGGAUUGUAAAGCUCUGUCUUUUGGGACGAUAAUGACGGUACCAAAGGAGGAAGCCACGGCUAACUACGUGCCAGCAGCUGCGGUAAUACGUAGGUGGCGAGCGUUGUCCGGAUUUACUGGGCGUAAAGGGUGCGUAGGCGGAUGUUUAAGUGAGAUGUGAAAUACCCGGGCUUAACUUGGGUGCUGCAUUUCAAACUGGAUAUCUAGAGUGCAGGAGAGGAGAAUGGAAUUCCUAGUGUAGCGGUGAAAUGCGUAGAGAUUAGGAAGAACACCAGUGGCGAAGGCGAUUCUCUGGACUGUAACUGACGCUGAGGCACGAAAGCGUGGGUAGCAAACAGGAUUAGAUACCCUGGUAGUCCACGCCGUAAACGAUGAGUACUAGGUGUAGGAGGUAUCGACCCCUUCUGUGCCGCAGUAAACACAUUAAGUACUCCGCCUGGGGAAGUACGAUCGCAAG